rnacentral:rRNA from 1 species
AAGUGAAGAAGCGCAUACAGUGGAUGCC